UUUGAAACUCCUCAACAGCCUUUGAAAAGAUCGUCUAGUGUAGGUCCUAGUACCAACUUUUCUUCUGGUAUGAAUCCGGGUAGUCCUUCCGGAUCCGACUUGAGUGAUUCGAGUCUUUCGGGGUUUCCCCAGUCUCUUGUUUAUAGACCUGUACCGCGAACCGGCGGGAUUUUCCCUCUUCCUCCUCUAGUUCAACCGAUCGAAACUGCUCCAUUUAUACCCGACCCACCCACUUCUCUUUGCCUCUCACUACCCGGAUCCGGCACCCGUGAAACCUCGAUUCAGACUGCACAACCAACCCAGCUAACUCAGCCUCCUCAAUCACCACCACCUCCUCCUUUGGCUUUGCCGCCGGUUGAUAAACCCGUACCACCACCAACAGCUGUUUUCAUGUCUCAGCUUCCUCAAACUAAGCAAAGUUAUGAUUUUUGUGUACCAGCUUUACCCAAAUCAGGAGAGAAACAGUUUUUUACUCCGGAGUUUUUGGGAGUUCUACAAGAUAUGAUAAGAAAG
rnacentral:lncRNA from 1 species